AGCCAGACUCCUACGGGAGGCAGCAGUGGGGGAUAUUGGACAAUGGGGGGAACCCUGAUGCAGCAACGCCGCGUGAGUGAAGAAGUAUUUCGGUAUGUAAAGCUCUAUCAGCAGGGAAGAGAAUGACGGUACCUGACUAAGAAGCCCCGGCUAACUACGUGCCAGCAGCCGCGGUAAUACGUAGGGGGCGAGCGUUAUCCGGAUUUACUGGGUGUAAAGGGAGCGUAGACGGCUGGUCAAGUCUGAAGUGAAAGCCCGGGGCUUAACCCCGGAACGGCUUUGGAAACUGAGCAGCUAGAGUGCUGGAGAGGUAAGCGGAAUUCCUAGUGUAGCGGUGAAAUGCGUAGAUAUUAGGAGGAACACCAGUGGCGAAGGCGGCUUACUGGACAGUAACUGACGUUGAGGCUCGAAAGCGUGGGGAGCAAACAGGAUUAGAUACCCUAGUA
rnacentral:rRNA from 1 species